rnacentral:rRNA from 1 species
UACAGAGGUCUCAAGCGUUGUUCGGAUUCAUUGGGCGUAAAGGGUGCGUAGGUGGCGGGGUAAGUCAGGUGUGAAAUCUCGGAGCUCAACUCCGAAACUGCACUUGAUACUGCCUUGCUCGAGUACUGGAGAGGAGAUUGGAAUUUACGGUGUAGCAGUGAAAUGCGUAGAUAUCGUAAGGAAGACCAGUGGCGAAGGCGAAUCUCUGGACAACACCUGACACUGAGGCACGAAAGCUAGGGGAGCAAACAGG